GACGAACCGUGCGAACGUUGUUCGGAAUCACUGGGCUUAAAGGGCGCGUAGGCGGGCUGUCAAGUCUGGGGUGAAAUGCCGCGGCUCAACCGUGGAGCUGCCUCAGAUACUGACGGCCUCGAGGAAGGUAGGGGCAUGCGGAACUGUAGGUGGAGCGGUGAAAUGCGUUGAUAUCUACAGGAACUCCGGUGGCGAAAGCGGCGUGCUGGACCUUUUCUGACGCUGAGGCGCGAAAGCUAGGGGAGCAAACGGG
rnacentral:rRNA from 1 species